GGGUUCAGAACGUCGUGAGACAGUUCGGUCCCUAUCCGUCGUGGGCGUAGGAAAUUUGAGAGGAGCUGUCCUUAGUACGAGAGGACCGGGAUGGACAUACCUCUGGUGUACCAGUUGUCGUGCCAACGGCAUAGCUGGGUAGCUAUGUAUGGACGGGAUAAGUGCUGAAAGCAUCUAAGCAUGAAGCCCCCCUCAAGAUGAGAUUUCCCAACUUCGGUUAUAAGAUCUCUCGAAGAUGACGAGGUUAAUAGGUUCGAGGUGGAAGCGUGGUGACACGUGGAGCUGACGAAUACUAAUCGAUCGAAGACUUAAUCAA
rnacentral:rRNA from 1 species